CCAGCCAAUCUACUCUCUUGGUCUCUCCUCUGUAACUUGAUAAAUCAUAAGAGAAGAAGAAAUUAUUGCGUAGAAAGUCGCACUUACUACCUUCUCCAUCAUUGUUAUGUAAGAGGAAAAGAGCGAAAAGCUUACUUUUAGGUAGUGGCCUAAAUGCAAAGAAGUGAACAUCAUGCUACUCAGACUAUAUGCUUAACACAUGCAAGUCGAACCUUGGUUUUUGGAGUUUGAAAGAGAAGGGGAAGAAGCGGGGUAGAGGAAUUGGUCAACUCAUCAGGCUCAUGACCUGAAGAUUACAGAUUUGAAUCCUGUCCUUGCCUAAUUAGUGGAACAUUGUUCACCGGGAUAGAAGGCCGGUCCCAACCCAUCUACAAAAUGGAGCUAGUGUUCAGUCUUGGUUGGUUCCACCUCUUUGCAAGGUGAUGACACCAGUAGCUGUGGAGCACAGAUGACUAUUUAUGUCACUAUUGAAUUCCAAUGUCAGAGCUCCUUUCCAACCAGUCAAGUGGCUUUUCGCUCCUUCUACUGUAAACUACUGUGUGCCUAUUUAGAGCUUUUCACAGUCAAAGGGGUGGCAAGAUCGGCAUGCCUUCUAGUUGUAGUUGACUUUAAGCGCACCUAAACUGCCCAUAGUCGUCUAUUUAUGGGCUUGCACUCAAUAGUCAAUCAAUUCAUUUUUCCGCUUUUUAUCGCACGCUUCAACUAUUUGUUUAUAUAGUGUGUAAAGUCUAACUAAUGGAAAAUGCCUAUGAAUUAGUUCCAAGAAAACGGCCGUUCACAUCAGGAAUAGAGGUUGUUAAGGAUGUACUUGCUUUUUCUCUUUUUUUGUUGAGAUUGGGUUGGUGUUCAGUGUACCACUUGUGACGCCUAUGCUUUGCAAGCCUACAUAGGGUACAAGAUCGAAAAGAAUGCAUUGGAUGAAUGCCCAAGCAUAGAGAAGGAAGGACUCUUUCAAAGGCGAAAGGCAAUGGGGAGAUACCGUCUGUGAUCCAUGGAUCUCCGAUCGGGAAAUCGUAUCCAAGCUCCGUGGCUAGUCUGCGCUCUUUGGACUUUUCAAACUUAGUGAACUGAAACAUCUUAUUAGCUAAUGGAAGGGAAAUCAAUCGAGACCCCAUCAGUAGCAGCGAGCGAGAGCGGAUUGGGGGUUUGAAGAAAAACAAACACGAAGCUUUGUUCCUCUCCUUUUAGGAGAGCUACUUCAUUCCUCAGCAAAGUGUUUACUUCUUUUUUGCCAGGUUUCAUUCGAUUUGUUAUGGAUUGGAUGAUGGAAAAACCAGCAAGCUACGGCUUCAAAGUUUACCUUAUUUAGAAAAGGAGAAAGGGCUUUUUUAUAGAUGUUGAGGUUGAGUAUGGGGGCGGAGCUUGAAGAUAGAAGCAAGCCGUGCUAGCCUAGCAAUAUUUUUCAGCAGCAAGCUAUGGUCUAACGACCCUCUAACCUAGGUUGGGGCAAAAACUCCAAAAUCCAAAAUGUUGGUUAGGGUUCCUCUUCUUUUAGGCGAGCUACUUCAUUCCAAACCUUUCUCUAAUAAUAAGGUAAGCUUUCAAGCGGCCGCCCUUUAAAGGAGCGGGUGCAGUGAACUAUAAUUGUGAAAAAAUUGGAAGAUCUGGCCAAAGAAUGUGAUAGCCCUGUAGAUUCGUUCCCAUGGUUCGAUCCUUCCCAGUAAAACAUGGCGUGUUCGAAUUCUAAUUGCUUUUAUAUGAGAAAAGGGGACUACCCUCUAAGCCUAAGUAUUCAUCAAUGACCAAUAGCGUACAAGUACCAUGAGGGAAAGGUGAACAGAACCCUAUUUAGGGAGUACAAUAGAGAACCUGAGAUCCGAUGCGAACAAUCAAUCGAAAGAGCGGAGCUUAGAGCCUUUACUUUAUGUAAAGCACACUUACUCUAACGGCGUACCUUUUUUAUGAUGGGUCAGCGAGGAAAUGGGAACAGCGGCUUAAGCCAUUAGGUGUAGGCGCUUUCCAGAGGUGGAAUCUUCUAGUUCUUCCUAUUUGACCCGAAACUGAUCGAUCUAGCCAUAACCAGGUUGAAGAGAGCUCUAACAGGCCUUGGAGGACCGAACCUACGUAUGUGGGAAAAUACAGGGAUGACUUGUGGCUAGGGGUGAAAGGCCAACCAAGAUCGGAUAUAGCUGGUUUUUCGCGAAAUUUAUUUCAGUAGAGCGUAUGAUGUCGAUGGCCCGAGGUAGAGCACUCAAUGGGCUAGGGUGGCCUUAUUUCACCUUACCAACCCCAGGGAAACUCAGAAUAUAGGCCUAGAUCAUUUGUAUAGACAGACUUUUUGGGUGCUAAGAUCCAAAGUCGAGAGGGAAACAGCACAGAUCAUACGCUAAGGUCUCUAAGCAAUCACUUAGUAGAAAAGGAAGUGAUCGAGCAAUGACAACCAGGAGGUGGGCUUGGAAGCAACCAUCCUUUGAAGAAAGCGUAAUAGCUCACUGGUCUAGCUCCAUGGCACCGAAAAUAUAUCAGGGCUCAAGUGAUUCACCGAAGCAACGAGACCUUAAAAUCUGCUUUUUCAAGUCACAGUAGCAAAAUAUUCUGUCAAUCGGGGAAGGUUUUUGGUGACAAGACCUAGAGAUAUCAAAAGUGAGAAUGCUGACAUGAGUAAUGAAAAAUCCUGUGAAAAACACGAUCGCCUGCCAAUGGAAGGUUUUCUGCAUUCAGUCAAUCUACGCAGAGUGAAUCGGUCCUUAAGGAACCCCCGAAAGGGCCUAGUCUGAUGGGUACACAAAAGUGAUGAAGUUGCUUUGACUACAGAUCCAUGCCUGUCUGUUGGAGCGAAUUGGAUAAUCGGGCCAAGGGUUGCCCCCUCUUCCUAUCACUCUCUUUUUACUAAUAUGAACCUUGAGUCAUCAAAGUCUUUUUUACUCGGCCUGGCUCGGUCGCCCUACGCGACUGGUGCUUCAAAAGGUGAAAAUCUCGGUCGUAGUUUGGUGACCUAUCUUCAGUAGGGGCCUUUAGUCUUUUGAUUAGAGUAUGGGUCACGAGAGUGCAGAGCGUACUGCCCUGCCAUAGUCACGAGUCUGUUUAUAGUCGCGACUGUUGUCAUAGUCAACAAGGUUGAAACUUCCAGGAAAAAACUUUGAAUUGGGAGGGCGAUCCUCCCGGUGAACUGACCGUACCCCAAAUCAACAUAGGUGAACAAGUAGAGUAUACUAUGGCGCUUGAGAAAACCAUGUCGAAGGAACUCGACAAAAUGACCCCGUAACUUCGGGAUAAGGGGUGCUCUCUUAUCUUUUGAUUAGGAAAGUGGCACAUACCAGGGGGUGGCGACUGUUUAUUAAAAACACAGGACUCUGCUAAGUGGUAAUACGGUGUAUAGAGUCUAACACCUGCCCGGUGUUGGAAGGUCGGAAGGAGAAGUGUUAUAAGCUUUGAAUGAAAGCCCCGGUAAACGGCGGUAGUAACUCUAACUGUCCUAAGGUAGCGAAAUUCCUUAUCGCAUAAGUAGCGACCUGCACGAAUGGUGUAACGACUGCCCUACUGUCUCCGACAUGGACCCGGUGAAAUUGAAUUCUCCGUGAAGAUGCGGAGUACCAACGGCUAAAUGGUAAGACAUAACUAUAGCUUCGCAGUGACAACCUUAAUUAAAUAUGUAGGAUAGAUGGGAGGUGGUGACACACAACGACCAAUCUUGAAAGACCACUUUUUUAUCUAAGAAUGCCUAACCACCGCACCGAUCAUUCAGAGAGAGGCGGGACACUACAAGACGGGUAGUUUAUCUAGGGCGGAUGCCUCCUAAAGAGUAAAGGAGGUGUGUGAAAGUAGGAUCAAGCUAAGAUUUUGCUAGUGAGUGUAAUGGUAUAAGCCUGCCUGACUGUGAGACCAACUGGUUGAACAGAGAUGAAAGUCGACUAUAGUAAUCCGGGAUUCCCGUGUGGAAGGGCUCUCACUCAACGGAUCAAAGGUACGCCAGGGAUAAUAGGAUGAUUACUCCCAAGAGCUCUUAUCGACGAAGUCAUUUGGAACCUCGAUGUCGACUCAUCACAUGCUGGGGUUAAAGAAAGUCCCUAGGGUUCGAUUGUUCACUGAUUCAAGUGGUACGUGAGUUGGCUUUAGAACAUCGUGAGAUAGUUCGGUUCUUAUCUACCAUUGGUGUAAAAGGGAGAACUGCGAGGAGCCAACCCUAGUACGAGAGGACUGGGUUGGGGUAACCUAUGGUGUACCGGUUGUUAUGCCAACAGUAGUGCCGGGUAGCUAAGUUAGUAUGGAAGAACUGCUGUGCCACGGGAAAUCUUUCUCUAUACAAGUUCUCGGAUGAGAUUUUUGAAUAGAACUUCGAUAGGCGAGAGGUGUAAGCACCGCGAGGUGUGAAGCGAUCUCGUACUAAAUGAAACUACUUUCACUUUCCAUAACAAAGAUGAAAGAAAGUCAAGUGAUCUAUGCUUUAUGUAUAGUUCCACUUAUUCGUUCCCUUCUUCUAUUAGUAGUGCCUCUUCUACUAGUUUAACUUGGCCGGACGCGCAAAGCACUCUACCUGAGUGAACUCAGUUAUUUGAUGACAUCUGCAAAAAUAGCGCGGAGUUGCUUUGACUCAGAGGUAGAGAAUUACCUACCGAGUGGAACAUAGCAGAUCUUAUUCAGGAUGUUAUGGGAGACGAGGCUCUUCAAAUUCCAGGACACCUUCAAACUACCUAUUACGAUGUUUUUUUAAGGGGGUCUUCGAGUUGGCUUUUAGAAGAUCUCUCGAAUUUUCUAGAUUUAACCUAUAAUGUCCUCUAGUAUAAGGGAACUUAGUGGAUCUCUACACCACUUUCUUUCUAUUCUAUAACGGAGGGUCCACGUUAAACAGAUUAGGCUCACAGAGUACUUCAAGGCUAGAGUGAAGAGCCACAAAAAAACCUAUCAGGAACUGUAUAAAAAGGGGUCGAGAACUACAUAGAUCUGAGACUUUCCUUCCUUGGUCUGGGAGGUAAGUUAUGUAGGCGUACAACUCUUCCGGCAGUUAUAUUCAAUCACGAAUUACCAAAGAAUUGAUUAGUAGUAUGUCUGUGCCAGAAGACCUUCUCGCAAAUAAUUUCUAUUCAGUGUGCCGCGAGUGGCUUCUCAAUGAAUAAGCUGCGAUUGCUCUUGUUGAUACAGUUUCAUUUUCUUAGGCAGUUUCGUAUUCUAAUGAUCCCCGUCUUACCUGAUGAUUAGGAUUUGCUUUCCCUAUUUGAAAAAAGGAGAUCUGUGUCACUCUCACUAUGCUUCACACAUGAAAUUCUACUACUUUCAAGGGCUCGAAUAGAUUGAUUUGAGAACUUGUUUCAGGGUUACCCCCGUGGGAGAACUUUCAUAAUCUCUUUCGCUCUUGGAUCUCAUUCUCUACUUAGUGACUCGAUCUCUCUUUAUUUUAAAGCUUGUGCAAAGGGGUAACUAUCUGAAGGCCUCACACCACCGCUAGUUGAACCUUCUUCGGUCUCUUUCAGCGGCGAGCUUACCUUUUUUAUUAGUAUUGAAUUUAUGUCAUUGUCGCUCAUCAUCCUUGUUAGAAAAGGAAUAAGAAACUCUCUUUAUAGGAAGGGAAGGUCAUAUUUAGGAAAAAUUGACCAAAAUUCCUCCACUACGGAUGGACUGAUCUGAAGAGCGGAGACUUGAUUCGAUAUUUACAGUUGCGGGCUUCUAUCGUGCUAUUCUAUUUCUAUAGAGAGGUAGGCGACAAAGACAAGGGAUCUCUCUCGCUAUGGAUAGUUGCUGUUUGUGAGAAGCGUCUGUUCCACUUUAUCCUUUCAGUAAUUAUAUUGAAUAAAGACAAAUUGAUCCACUGGUAUUUCGAUGCUCGAUCUACACUUCUCAAAAUCUCACUCACAAUCUAUGGCUCACUUAGGGAUAGAAAGAUAGGAUUCUUCAUACAAAGCCAACCGGGAACCUUCUUUCCAAACUCACUCGACACACAAAAGAAAAGACGAAAGACGAGAAUCAGCGCAAGUAUCAAACACUUAAUAGACAUAGAAGAGUAAAAGAAAUGCUUCCUAGCCUACCGAAAACUCGGUUGAAGCUAGUUAGGUCCACCGGUCAGUCAAGUGUUGACACCGAAUUAGGUUUGACCUUUCUUCUCAAUGUUUGGAUGAACAUGCAUUCUUUUAUCUAUAGUAUGGUAGAGUAUGGUAGACUUAUAACCAAUCAAAUUGGAAACCUUAAUUCGAGAGAUCAAACUAGCAAGGAUAAUAUCGUAAAGUCAGAGAGGAAGAAGAAUGUCAUCAUAGAGGGAUCAGCGUGUAAACUUGAAGGGCUAGGGAACUCCUUUAGCUCAAUAAUGAAAGUUAGGGUCGAUCGGAGGAGACCCAAGCAAGUCAUUAAGCUAUUGGAUGGAUCCUCCUAACUGUAGUUACUUAAGGUCAGUAGUAGACGGGUGAGGCCCACAGUUCUAAUAGGUUUUCACUUGAGCUUUCCGCAGCAAAGCAAGUCUACAAGCCACUGCAGUGAGGUUAUAGGUCUGAUUUCUUUCUCGUAUUGAGAUCUUAGAAUGCUAUAAAAGCCUCCUGCAAGGUUACUUUAGAUAGAGGUAUUUUCUGUAUAAGAUUAGCAUCCCCAUUCGUUGGUUACUUAGUACUUAGGUAGUGAGUUCCGAUCUUAGUAGGCUUUAUUCCCAUCCCUCGUAAGAACAUAGGUUUUUUUCCUUCAGUUUCUACUCUCCUUGCUUUAACUAAAGAACUACCUUUAACUUUAAGUAGGACUCUAAUAGCUCUACCUUAGAAUGAGUUAGAUUUCAUGCAAGAAGGAAUGGCAAGACGCUAAAGACAUGGCUAUGAGACUAGUGUAAUCAGGUAAUCGACCAAGUAAUCCACAUAUAUGAUAAAAGAGCAUUCCAGCCCUAGUGUACUUAUCCACUGGCAUUGAAGGAGAAGAAUGACAAGGUCUGCUUCUACAGUAAGGAUUGCCGCUUAGUCCAAUCCAAGAGCAAACAAGGGAUGCCUCAUUAAGCAAGAACCUGAGCUAAGAGCGGGGCAGUUCAAUUAAGGUAUAGAGAAAGCUCCAAGAAGCUACCAUUGAUCAGCCUUAUUCAGGCGCAUCAAUCAAAGAUCUUGCUUACCAGAUAACUUUCCUGGUGAAGGAGAGAAAGUUUGACAAGCUAAGAAAGUCUAGUUGAAAGCAGGAACUCAGACUGUGAUGACUAUUUUCACUAGUUUCAAAGGCUUGAUUGAACCUUGGGAUUGAAUCUGGAUAGGGAGUGCCCUCGUAAAUACUAAAACCUCAUUACGCCGAAAAUAGUAGAGGUGCGACAGCGCUUUGGUAGUGAGUGAAACUUACUUUCUGUCUGGUUAGUAGGAAUUUCUUGCCUGCUAAGGGAUUAGUCCAAGUUAGACCGAGAAGUAAGACUUUGUAAUUGAAGUCAGGGGGGAUGAAUAGAUAAAUUCUCUUCCCACGUAGCGCUAAGAAGCAAGUUCUGACAGCCUAUGAUGAAAUAGCACAAAAUAAAAAAGGGCUACGUGAAUAAUAGUGUUAGUAGUUCGUGAGGCUAAUUUUGAGCUAGAUAGUGGAUUGAUGUUCACUGUAGCACUAUCUGACCUUGAAGGUUAAGUUAGUGUACCAUGAACUCCAUCCCACAUAUUUUGGAUGUUGUGGCAUUAGUUAUCUAGCUACAUUCUAUUACCGGUUGACACCAUUUUGGAAAACUUUGAUUCCGGUUACUGCUUGUUAAAUUCUGUUAGGUUCUUUGUCAAAUACUAACUGAUUCGAAUCCAUAUUCUUUGGGGGUCUAACUUUGGUUGUUCUUUCCUUCGAGCUAAGAUAGACCCUAUCAAAAACUAGUUCCAGAAGUAUCUUUCAUUAAUCUCGACCUAGACUGAUCUUUGUUCUGAUGAUGAUAAACCAUCAUCAAUUUGUAUAGUAUAUAUACCACCGAGCCCUCUUUUUGUACCAUUUUAUUCUUUCUAAAAGAGGGCCUGGAACUGGGCUCUUUUCAUAGCCCCUAAAGGCGUUAGAAAGAGAUUUAAUCAGCCAGCGUAAUAACUUCAAUCAAUAGAAAAAUCUAUCAAGACCAAAAAUAAAGAAUACCAUCUCCCAGGGAGUUUUUUUAUUUUGUAUAUCUUGACUUGAGAAUUCUCCUCACGCUUUUCCAUCACGAUUUUCUCUUCGAGAACACUCGCCUCGUCAAUUUUUCCCCUCGUUCCUUUUAUCUUGGACAUUGAGAUGUUCAUCCAAAGCAUUCUUUUCUACCCUAUGUAGGUAACAGAUGCUACGGAGCUGUAGACUUAAGACCUAAGGAUAUUUUGUUGACGGGUGAUUGGGUUUUAGAAUCCUCAGGAAAGUGUAAGCACCUGUAUACAAUUUUGAUUUUGCUUUCUAUAUAUAGAUAUGGAUUUCUCUUGAUGGAAUAAACCAAGGAAAAUCUUCUUUUUAGAACCACAACUCAGUGAAGUAGGCGACAAUUGCUAUUAGGGUCUAUCUUAGGGCAUUGGCUCUCUAAAAAAUGGAUUUCCUAUCGUUGCAUGGGUUCCUUUUUGCAUAAAACAUAUUGACUACAAAUUGAACUAAAUAAAGAAUGUUGACUAUUCGACAAUGUGAAGACCGCAAUCUCAACUUAGAAUAAUCAAAUGCCCAUCACGAGUCACAUGGGCACCCCCACCAGGUAGAAUAGUUGUAUAUCCCCAUCAAGAUCUAACUCUAAGAGGAUACUAUUCAUUUCUUCUUCAUACUGCUGCUCGCUUUGGAGACUAAACAAUGGAAAUAAUACGUAACAGUAAGCCAAGUAACGAUAAUAAGAAAUACUAGGGUAUAGCUAUUUAAAUCCUCGGUCGAAAUCAUCCAACAUCAAAUUGUAUAAGACCUUAGUGAUUAACCCAGCGUGUGGGAUCCCAACUUCCGUAAUAGAACAAUUAAUUCCAUUUUAGUCAUUGGUAUCUUUAAAAAGAAUAAAACUAAGGAUAUUACGUAGCUAUCAUACACCAAGGGUGCCAGCUUUCGUAAAAUUCUUUUAUGAGGAAUAGUACCUUGUGAGGGUGCUAGAUUCAAGAUAAAAAUAGUUAGUUUCUUCCCCACUCCACCUAAUUUGGCAAAGAACUUAUGGCAAUCUCUGGGAAAACCACACGACCUCUCCAGAAAGAUAGAUGAACGCAUAAAACAACUAUUCAACAUAUGCACCAGAGCGAUUAAAAGGAGAGCGUCCCUUUCACCGGGAUAAACAACCCAUUUAUGAUCAGGGUCCCCUGGCUGACAUAAAGUUUCAACAUAAAAAGAAAUUGCAUCAUCUUUGGGAAUACUUAAUAACUUAAGUGGGGACAAUGCAUACUUCUCUUCUGAGAUAAGAAUGAUUAUAUCACAUACGCUUAAAGGGGGCAACGAAAAUAGAUCACCAAGUUUAGCAUAGACAUAUAAUAUUGACCGGGCAAGUUUCUGUACGAAGCAUGAAUAAGGUGGAUUUUUCUGUGGGUCCUCGCCAUCUGAAUCAAUUCAGAAUGAACAGUGUCUCUAUUUGGCUUUGUUAUUAUUACAGUGUUAUCUGCACCCAGCCAAUAAGUAGAGAUAUGGAGAGAGGGGACAGCUUUGUUGCAGACCUUUCUUUGCUUUCUUUUAUGAAAUCCACUAGUCGUCCAUGGAUUAUAGGGGCUUUCCAUCGUAUAUAAAUACAAUUUCAUAUCCUACUCUGGAAAUCCCAUUUUCCUUAAGCAUAUAGAAACCUAUGAUUCCAAUUUGCAUAUGCUGCUGCUUUGGUGAAUUUAGUGAUCAUGGCUGGCUCACCUGAUCUAUCAGCUGAGUAGUAAGCCUCCUUGGGAUAAUUAUCAAUAUCUCUUCCUAUCAAAAUGAGAUUAGGAGGGCGCCCUUUUUAAAGAGCUAGUCUGUCUUUCAAUAGAAACUAUUGGCAAUUGCCUUAGUCAUUCUCUUAUAUAGUGUAGUCCCCAUAGCAAUGGGCCUCGGUCUAGUUAGGUUUUGCUUUUUUGGGAAUCAUUGCUAGGAAUAAGGAUUGAAUUGCACCUGUUUUGCUCCUGUUUGACUUCAAUUACCAUAUGGAAAUGGAGAUCGUCCAACAUUAUGUUCCAGCACUGCCCCUGAAUUAAUCAACCAAGUAGAAAUUAAAGUUCAGUUGGAAUCCAUAUAGUGACGUAGUUUUUUACUAUGAAGAGUCCCCUAUUGAUGAUACAGAACUUACUGCCCCGCCCUUUAUAGUCGCGACUAUUGUCAUGGAAAAAGAGUUUAUUUUCUAUCAAAGAAGCAUGCUUAACACAGCCUAUAGCAUAAAGGCAUUCGAGCUGCAUCUAAAUGAAAUAUUGGGCAAGGGCCCAUACUCUCUCUUCUAUGGAUAUGCUAUCCCUUCCGGCUAUGGUAUGGGGAAGGAGAGGUAAGAUCUACUCAUUGAUUUUAUAUUAGAUGAGUGGCCGUACUAUGAUCGUUUGGGAGACAUGGGCCCACGCGCUACACACAAGAAUAAAUUGUUAUGCAGUUGGUAACUCUUUCCUUUCUGCGGGCAGCCUAUCAAAUCGGAUCACGUAUUUUGGAAUAUGUCAUUACAUUAUGUAUAUGUAUUCGUUUUUCUAUUUUUUUGGAUAUUCCUGCUCGUGCCCAGAUAGAGAAUGGAUACAACUCCCCCUCUCCCCAUUCGACCGUCCAAAUAGGCCGGCCGUUCUAAGUUUUGGGGUUAGGUCGGAUAGGACCAGAUCCAAUCGAAUCUGAUCAUAGCUUCGAGUUCAGGUGUUGUACUACGGCCGGACCAGAAAGGAGGGGGACAGCGAACCUCCUUCCAAGAGGCCAAGGUUGCUUGCUAACUCUCAUCCACUUGUUAGAAGGAAGUGUAGCUUGAUUAUCGGGGGGAAUCAAUGGGAAGGAAAAAAGAAAGUAGAUUAUUCUAUUUCAUCCUUUGGUAAGGAUUGGUUUUUUGUUCAAGGGUAUGUUAAAAACCAUUGUAUUUUCUUUAUUUGUAUCACCGAGACACCCGAAGAGCCAGCAAUAUGUACCUCGGGAGCCCCGGCCCAUUCAAAUCAAAAUAGAACGAGCACCUACGACUAAGGGGAAUAGAAUGUCAACCAUAGGGUGAGAAAAUCUUAUAAUACGAGGGCUAGUGACUGGUCAAGUCAUUAAACUUAGUCAUUUUGAUCAACAUGGCUGCAAGUGGACUGGGUUUAUGGGUUUAAACUGACUACGACCAAAGUCGUGGCUACUUCAACCCAAAAAAGGGCGACCCCCUAUUCAAACCAAAAGAAGUACCUCACCUCACUUACGAAGAAGUUGUUGGAGCUGGGCUCCGAACUAUGAGAGUUUUCUUUUUAUCUUUCUCAGAGUGGUCUAAUCAAAUAGGGGAUCAGACCACUCCUGGUGUUUUAACUAGUCAUUAAUGGUUGACUUAAUUAGUACCCUUUCGGUAUGUGUUGCGAACACUUUCAUUUUUAGCCUCUCAUCUUCUCUAGAGGAAAACUGGAACGGAUAGAACAGAUGGUCCAACUACAUAACUUUUUCUUUUUCAUUACUUCCAUGGUCGUGCCUCGUGGCACGGCAGUACCUGUAUUAUUGAAAUGGUUCGUCAGUAGAGAUGUUCCCACAGGUGCCCUUUUUUCCAAUGGUACUAUAAUUUCUAUUCCUAUCCCUUCAUUCCCUCUUUUGGUCUAUCUACAUUCUAGGAAAUUCAUACGCUCUGCGGAUGGAGCAAAAAGUGGAGUCUUGGUCAAAGCAAGCUGCCCUAUUCUAUUACCAGACAUAAUUGGGAGAAGCACAUCAGAAACUAGAGCUAGAAAUGCUUUAUUUCGUUUCAUUCCCGUUCUUUAUUUCCUUCUUCUCGAAUCCAAGGGGGAAUUCUCAUAUUUAGAAUCUUUCUGUGGUGUGCUCCGUUUACUAUUCUUUCAUACUUUCUUCUUUUUACCACGCCAUAGGUUAGAGAAGUCUAAGCGGGCGCGGAGAAGGAAAGGCCAAACACUUCGGCCUAACGGGAAUGAGCAACAACGAAAUAAGAAGAUGAUGUGCCUCGGGCAUCCCCAUUUAGAAAGAAGGGUCAAAGUUUUUGGGCCUAUAGCUUUCCCCAUCCCCCCUUCAUCGGGCGGUGCUUGUGUGGAGGGUGCGCCACCUGAAAUCAGGCUUGAAGCUCUCACCUUACCAACAAGCCGAGAGCUGAUGGCUGUUGGUCACGAAUACUAUCAAAAAACUCCUAUGAAGAUGAAUAUUUCAUAUGGAGGAGUAUGCAUCUUUAUGUUGGGUGUUCUUCUAUCGUGUGACCCGGCGGCUUAUGUGCGACCUGUGGCCCACGCCUCCUAUUUAUUUAGGGCGGGCGGCGUGAACUCUAAUUCGAUCCGGGUAUUCAAUCCCGCCGCUGAGAUGCUCAGUUGACUCCUUAACCUUGAUAGGAAGAUGGCUUAUUCAAUAAUUCAUGCAUAAGGGUAAGGAACUUUGGAUGAACUAAUGCGAAUGGGUGUAAGCCUUACUGCUCGGAAACACCCAGUGCUGACCACACUGAGAGACACAAAAGUGUAGGUAACGCCAGUUGGCGAAGUAGUGUUAAGCAUCCCUAGCGGUACAAAAAGAGGGGUCAUGAUGAUAUCAUCUACGUCCAUACCGCUCCUCAUGGAGUAGAUCCUGUAUCUAACCAAGUCUUUGACCAGGGAAUGGGAGAAUUCCCACUACCGCUGGCAGGCCAGCCAGGCUGUGAGCGCGGUGGGAACGGGCUUCCCAAGAAGCCAACCUGGGCUGGGGUCAGCAUAGAAUGAAGGGGACGGCCCUAAUCUUGUGUUGGCUUUGCCAACUUAUUAGGUUACGAGCGAAGAAAAGCAGAUGUGGGGACUCGGGUCGGGGCGCAGCGUAACUAAGAGAGCCAUUCCAUUUAGGGCGAGACAAAAUAGGCGGGCAGGGGCGGUCUGGUGUCUGAACCAAUUGGUCAGAUGACGACUACUUCACUUAUUAUUUUAGUAUUAGCCGCCUAUCCCGGAAUGGAAUGGGAUGGAAUAGAAAGAACGUGAAGCGCUAGCACUACAGGGUUGGUUUUUUUAGGGGGAUAGGCUUGUGAAGAAGCAAGCUUAUCCCCGCCCCGACCAGCAGCUGCUAGGUUUCCCCACCUCUUCUAAACUUCCCCCAGUCUUUGGCCCAAGCUGUAUGAGGCAAAAACUCAUCCCACUUACGGUUCGGAGGCCGAGCCCCACCCCAGCAGUAAGGGUGCGGCUUAGGUCAACUAACAUAAAAAAGAUAGAGUUCACUCAACGAUUGCCUUUGGGUUCCGAACUCCAUAUGGGGAAGGAGCGUUGUUGUUUACGAGGUAUUGAUCAUUUACAUGGACCCACUUUUCAUUCCAUUUGUGGGAAUUUGAUGAUCUAUAAACCGUCCCUAACGAGCGAUCGGCUCAUGUUUGAGCAUGAUGAAUCACUUCGUGCCGACCUGUUGCCAAUCCACUUUCCGGCCUCAUAUGAGAAUGGAAAACUGGAGCAUUUUAUCCAUCGGUGGAUGAAGAAUCGCGAACAUAAUAAUUUCUGGUUGACCAUGUUCCCAGAAAAAAGAUACUUUCGAGAAAGGACGAGCACGACUGAAGUGGCUAUACAUACAAAUCUAUUUACGGAUCUAUAUGCUUCGAUUGGAACUGGAAGUUCCAGAACAGGUGGCUGGUAUACCACAAUAAUAAAACUUCCUUUUAUUUUUUUUAUUCGGUGCGGCUUAGGUCAACUAACAUAAAAAAGAUAGAGUUCACUCAACGAUUGCCUUUGGGUUCCGAACUCCAUAUGGGGAAGGAGCGUUGUUGUUUACGAGGUAUUGAUCAUUUACAUGGACCCACUUUUCAUUCCAUUUGUAGGAAUUCGAUGAUCUAUAAACCGUCCCUAACGAGCGAUCGGCUCAUGUUUGAGCAUGAUGAAUCACUUCGUGCUGACUUGUUGCCAAUCCACUUUCUGGCCUCAUAUGAGAAUGGAAAACUGGAGUAUUUUAUCCAUCGAUGGAUGAAGAAUCACGAACGUAAUAAUUUCUGGUUGACCAUGUUCCCAGAAAAAAGAUACUUUUGAGAAAGGACGAGCAAGACUGAAGUGGCUAUACAUACAAAUCUAUUUAUGGAUCUAUAUGCUUUGAUUGGAACUGGAAGUUCCAAAAUAGGUGGCUGGUAUACCACAAUAAUAAAACUUCCUUUUAUUUUUUUUAUUCGGAUCGGAUUUAUGUUGGCUUCGUUGGGAGGCUCGCGUAGUUUGUUACGUUAGCUCCAAAAGGAUAAGUUGCGUUGGAAUUGAUAAAGUUCCGUGGAGUUCAUAAUUGCAUAAACGGAGUCAAAGUAGUGGCUGCGGCGCGUUAAGGUACUUCUUCGACGGUCCCCGUAUGCCUGGCCUGUCGGCCCGCUCUGAAGAAUUCAUGAUUUAUAUAUGUUUUAGGCCGGUAAGAGGGAGUACGGAAUAAUGAUUGAUUUCAUUAUAUCCAUCUACGCCUACCCCAUCUACCUAUUGUCAGAGGUCAAUUGUUGCGCUCUCUCUCGAGAUUGCAAUCCCUAUCGAGUAGGGAAGGAAUGAGUAAUGGGUUGGGAAAUCAGGCAUCGGCCCUCUUAGAUCCGGUAGGAGCAGGAGUAGGUAAGUUAGUAUCGAUCCAGUGAAGAAAAGAGAAUUUAGUUGAUAGAGACGUUAGAUCAGGAGGAAGCAUCUGGUCACAUAUCCCAAAACCUUCACGAGAAAGGAACGGACUCACUCGCCCUACUACUAAAGAUAGAUAGAAAAGGUUAGGAAGUCCCAGCUGCUGAGGUGAUGUAGUGAGAGGUGAGAGCAAUAACAACAAAAGCAGUGGAAGAUCCUGCAGUAGUGUAUUUGGUUGUUUUGUUUGCGGUGGAAUAGAUCCAAGCAUCCGGGCCAGUAGAUCCACAGCAAAUAAGCGUUGACUUAGGUGCUUUUGCAGUUUAUUUGUUUCCCGAUGUUGAUCCGAUGUAACUUACCGGUGAUAGUCGCAGCACCAGGAGCUUUCAAGGGAGGGGGACAGGAUCUCUAGUUCUAUUCUGGAAUCUAAACCUAAAAUGUAACUAAAUAGGCAGCGAGCCAUUCAGAUGAGACCCGAAGACCAGGAAGAAUAAAUAAUCAAAGGGAGGGGCUUCUUUCUUCAACAGAGGUAAUGCUUAUUCUUCUCCUUCCCGGUACUCUUGAAUAAGGAAAGGAUUUUCUCUAUUCCCUAUCAAAAGCACUUUCAGUAGAAAAAUGAAUUCGUCUCAAAUCAAAAGAAUAAGACUCCGCACCUUCAACUAAUUCAAGCAAUUCAGUCAGUAGGAAAGUCAUAUCACUGAACAUUGGAUUAUAUACAACCUCGUGAACAUUACAACCAAUCAAUCGAGAGUCUUCUAUACAUUUUGAAACUUUCAAUUUAUUCCCAAACUCACAAGAAAAGGUAGAACCUUUGGGAGGUACUUUCGUUCUACUUUACUAUAGCAGUUUUAGAUCUGCCGCUCGCUCUCUUGCAAGUGCUCGUCUAGCUCCCUCUCCUUGAUCUCUUCUUUUUGUUUUUAGCCAGAUCCCUUCGAUUAAUCCUACAUUUUUCUUUUUUUCCCAUGAUAGCGAUAUUCCUUUGCUACUUCUUUCCUCGGCUAAUGGAAAAAAAUCCUUCUUUUUACCCUGCCUGGCGCCAUCCAUCUCCAAAUAGUAAAUGCGCUGCUGAGCUCAGAUGUCCGCUCGUCUGGCAAGUUGGCAGCAAGCACUUCCUCCCCUCUUUGUGUGGAAAAGCUUCUGAAAGCCUAUUAGUUAGUAUUAGUCAAAAACCUAGUUAAGGGGUCCGUAGUUGUCGCAAUCGCUCAUUGGUCUUCACCUCAAGUGCUUUCUUCAAUGAGUCCAAGGCUAGACCCUAAAUGCCGCC
rnacentral:lncRNA from 1 species